GUGUCAUUAAAUAUUGCUGCCGCAGGGGUGGGUGGCACACGAGGGCUAGGACAAGGCAGCAGCUUUAUUCGGAAAGUCUGGCAGUCCUCUGACAAAGGCUCCUGAUCUGAAAGGAAGUGGUGUCACCAAAGGGCAGAUCUGCAGUUUUCUUCAACGAGCUAGGAGGGAAAUGGGGACGAAACUCAUCGUAUCUGUCCCCAGAAGAGCCAAACGUGCAUUGAAGCCGGUGCUGCAGAGACAGAAUUGGAGAAGGGACCAAUGAAUUCAAGACUCUUGGUGCCACCAUACAUGCCCAGAAAGAUCAUCACCUGUCAAAUAUAGACUAAGACACAAGAGAGGAAGACUGAGCACUUUAGUGUCUAAGCUCCUGUUAUAACAGGCUCUAUCCACCACUGCAUGCUGGAGUGAACAACAUAACAGUGAGAGAGAGAACUGCUACCUACCGUGCAGGUAAGAGGGAAUAGGAUGAGAUGCACAAGAAAACAGGUCUCUUUUGUGGAUAUCACAGUCUGUCCUUACGUUAUCAUUGAGGGGGAGGGAGGCAGGAAAGUCGGACAGAUGCAGAGAUGGGGUAGAAAUGGUAGUGGGAACCUGAGGGGAGAAGAUAUGAACCAUUGUCUUGGAGAGAAGGAAAG
rnacentral:lncRNA from 1 species